rnacentral:lncRNA from 10 species
CCCAAUGUCAUCUUAAACAUUUUCUGAAAAAGUCAUGAUAUCCAAAAAGACCAGGAACCACUGGUCAAGAAUACAUCUGAGGCACGAAGUGAUGGGAGAGAAACCUCAGGGCUUGGUGGACAGAACUCUGUGGAAAUCCCUUCUGAAGCACAGUCCUGAGUGCCCCACAGCUGGACACCACAAUGUGGCCAGUGGCUAUGGCCUCUGGGUUCUGGGGUGACUUACAAGAAGCUGAACACUGGGCUAGCUACAUUCACUGUAGAUAAAGUUUAUCAGACAUCUUGGGUCUGGGGUGAUGAAUAUGUCUGGUGUAAUAGGAAAAAGGAACAUUCUAGCAAGGCUGAUAUGAGAAAAACAACCACCUUUUCCCUAUUUCACAAUCUUCACCAGCACCCGCCUCUUCCCCAAAUUGUAAGAACCCACAGGUGGAGAAAACAGCCAGAGGUUGUGAGUGGAGGCAGCCUGCUGGUUCCAAAUGCGUUGCUGGCUGAGAACCAUUCCCAAACAAACUCCCGUAGUCACUUCCUCUUUGAAAUAGGGAAAACAAUAAUAUCUGGAUUGUGCCACGACUGAAAACCCUUUCCUAGCUGCAGUUCAUCCACCAAGGAGCUGUCUGCAACCUACAGAAAAUGUGUUGAAGCAAAAUGAGGGCUUGAACCGAGAGAAAAAUGGGAUUCAGGAAAUGGAAGAGGCAACAUAACAGAGCAGUGAGAGAAGGUUCCAGGAUGACAGCUGUGCAGUGGCCCGGGGCACCAAAGCCAGACCAGGAAGGUGGAAUGCUCUGGAUACCAGGUCUCCAUGAUAAAGGCAAGUGGGCAAAUUAUCUGAUAUAAUAAACUUUUGAGGGGCAAAACACUAAUUUAGGUAUGUGAUAGCUAUUGAUGGAGCACUUGCAAAAAAAAAAAUUAAGAAAUUUAAAAAUUCAGGCCAGGCAUGGUGGCUCACGCCUGUAAUCCCCAGCUGUUUGGGAGGCCAAGGAGGUG